GAUGAACGCUGGCGGCGUGCCUAAUACAUGCAAGUCGAGCGAACAGACGAGGAGCUUGCUCCUCUGACGUUAGCGUCGGACGGGUGAGUAACACGUGGAUAACCUACCUAUAAGACUGGGAUAACUUCGGGAAACCGGAGCUAAUACCGGAUAAUAUAUUGAACCGCAUGGUUCAAUAGUGAAAGACGGUUUUGCUGUCACUUAUAGAUGGAUCCGCGCCGCAUUAGCUAGUUGGUAAGGUAACGGCUUACCAAGGCAACGAUGCGUAGCCGACCUGAGAGGGUGAUCGGCCACACUGGAACUGAGACACGGUCCAGACUCCUACGGGAGGCAGCAGUAGGGAAUCUUCCGCAAAGGACGAAAGCCUGACGGAGCAACGCCGCGUGAGUGAUGAAGGUCUUCGGAUCGUAAAACUCUGUUAUUAGGGAAGAACAAAUGUGUAAGUAACUAUGCACGUCUUGACGGUACCUAAUCAGAAAGCCACGGCUAACUACGUG
rnacentral:rRNA from 1 species